AUUGAACGCUGGCGGCAUGCCUUACACAUGCAAGUCGAACGGCAUCGCGGGAAAGCUUGCUUUCCUGGCGGCGAGUGGCGAACGGGUGAGUAACACAUCGGAACGUACCGGCUAGUGGGGGAUAACCCGUCGAAAGACGGGCUAAUACCGCAUACGCUCUUCGGAGGAAAGCAGGGGACCUUUGGCCUUGCGCUAGCCGAGCGGCCGAUGUCCGAUUAGCUAGUUGGUGGGGUAAAGGCCUACCAAGGCGACGAUCGGUAGCGGGUCUGAGAGGACGAUCCGCCACACUGGGACUGAGACACGGCCCAGACUCCUACGGGAGGCAGCAGUGGGGAAUCUUGGACAAUGGGGGCAACCCUGAUCCAGCAAUGCCGCGUGGGUGAAGAAGGCCUUCGGGUUGUAAAGCCCUUUCGGCAGGGAAGAAAUCGGCGGGGCGAAUAACCCUGCUGGAUGACGGUACCUGCAGAAGAAGCACCGGCUAACUACGUG
rnacentral:rRNA from 1 species